GAACUACUCCCUCCGUCCGGAAAUACUUGUCAUCAAAAUGAAUAAAAGGGAUGUAUCUAGAUGUAUUUUAGUUCUAGAUACAUCCCCUUUUAUCCAUUUUGAUGACAAGUAUUUUCGGACGGAGGGAGUAUGUA
rfam:Triticum urartu cultivar G1812 contig786740, whole genome shotgun sequence.